rnacentral:misc_RNA from 1 species
AAAACCGCGCGUAAAGUUGCAACACGACUGUCAUUAUCCGAUUAUGGACAACAUGAAUAUACAACUUUUCCAUCAGAGACUGGGGGAAUUAGAAAAACAUUUACAUUGCAGUGUGUGUAACUGUAUACCAGAUAUGCCAUGGGUGCUGGGAGACUGUGAACACCUUUACUGCAGACAAUGCUGUGAUGACCUGCUGGGUCAGUGCUGUGUUAUUUGUGGGAUACCUGUACACGUGAAGGAUGCUCGUAUGCACAGACUGGUGUCCAAUAUUGUGGAACAGUUCAAAAUAAUGAAUCGCAUCCUCCAAGAGAACUUCUUGGUCCAGGAAUCAGGAAUCGCCAAGGCAGGAGAGACGACUAAUUGUGACUUUCAUACAGAUCACUCAAAUUCAAGCAACAACACAAGUACAAACAUUUCCAGUGAAUUUCAAUAUAAUCUGAAUGAUGCUGCAGGCAGUCCAGAACUUUUCGGUCCAGACAGUCCCAUCAAACUGUCCAACCAUACAGAUUCCCCUGCCAAGAGAGAACAACUUGAAGAAGCAAGCAAUCUACAUGCAAGACAUGUUCCAGAAACUGGUGAGGAACUGGCCAUCAACCUUUUAUUCACUGGAGACAAUUCUUCCUUAUCUGGCAAUUGUCAAGGGACAGAGUCAAAACCUGUAAACAAAAGCAAUGAGAAUAUUAUACAGAACUGUAGGACAGCAGCUAGAAAAAUCAAUGGGGCCAAGCAAAAUAUCCAGUUUAUCACCAGAAAGAAAACAAUCAAAAGAAGUUUAAAAAGGAGUCUUGGGAAGGAGAAUACUCACAUGUCAUCUCCAUCUUCCAGAAAGUGCUCAAGCACCACCCCUUUUCAAUUAGGUAGUCCUAGUCAUAUGAACUUGUCUUUCAAUAAUGUUUGGCAAGGAAGCCCUCACAACAUUGACAAGAAAAAUGCCAAGGGGGAAACAAGUCUUCAAGUGGCAUGUAUAAAGGGGGAUUUGCAGCGAGUGGAAAGACUGCUAUCUUCUGGAGCAAAUCCAAACACUCGAGACCACGCAGGAUGGACACCUCUGCAUGAGGCUUGUCAACGUGGCCAUGCAGAGAUAGCUGCGAGACUUUUAAGUGCUGGAGCAUUGGUAGACGUUCCAGGUACAGAGAAUGAGACUCCACUACAUGACGCUGUCCGACAUCUGAAGACAGACUGUGUGACUCUGCUGGUCAGACACGGAGCAUCUAUAAACACAAGAAAUAUUAACGGCCUCUCCCCGUUAGACCUGGCUGGUGGUCACUCUGACUUAAUGGAGGUUUUACACACUGAAGUCCAAGGUGUGAUCACCCCCCUCACACUACAGGUUUGAUAUGGACUUUUUUGUUGACAUUUUUAUCUUUUUAUGCAUGUAGUACAUGCACACUGCUGUAUUGAGCGUCUCUAUCUGGUUGUAGGUUGAUCCCCUUGUUUACCAGAGUCCAUGUUUCCUUGGUACAGGCUUAUCUCGGGAGCAGAGGAGUACUCUACAGAAGUGUGCCUCCAAACUACAGGCCAGGGUCGUGGAGGGAUUUUGUCCAGAGGUGACCCAUGUAGUGAGUGGCUGUAACAAUGAGGGCCUGUGUCCCCGCACUAUCAAGUACUUACAAGGUGUACUCUCUGGCCGAUGGAUAGUCAACAUGGAAUGGGUAGAAAUGAGUCUUGAAUAUGGAUCAAAGCUGGUGGAGGAGGCGUUUGAGAUUCCAGGCACCAGUACCGACCCUCAAUCUGGAGCAGCUCAAAAAGGGCGGAUCAACAGACAGAAACAGCUUCCUGGGUUAUUUGAUGGGUGCCAAUUUUACUUCUAUGGACACUUUGAAUACCCCACUCCAGAUAGAGAGGAUCUGGUCAGCCUGGUGAAGUUAGGCGGGGGACAAGUAAUCCAGCGUGAACCCAAACCUGGUCACAUCCCCGAGACACAGCUGACCACACCCUACCACGCCCCCGCAGGCUCCGAGACUUGCUGUAUAUACAUUGUCCAUGACAACAGGGCCACAUUCCAGCCCAUUACAACAAGUGUUUUGUGUACAGUGAGGGCUGCAUGGAUAAUGGACUGUAUCAGUCAGUUCAGAUUGAUCAAUGUUGGCUCCGAUUGUUGAUUUGUUGUCACUGUUAUUGUGCAGCUUAGUUAUGGAAUGUGAUUGUAAUGCAAUGUACUGGUACAUUUUUAAUUAAGUGUCGCUCGUCUGUGAGAUUGGAUUAUUCUAUCAAUAAAAGAUGUACACU